rnacentral:rRNA from 1 species
GACGAACGCUGGCGGCGUGCCUAAUACAUGCAAGUCGAGCGAAGUUUUUCUGGUGCUUGCGCCGGCAAGACUCAGAGGCGACAGGGUGAGUAACACGUAAACAACCUGCCGCAUAGACAGGGACCACUAUUUGAAACGAUAGCUAAUACCGGCUAAUAGCAUUAACUGCAUGGUUGAUGUUUAAGAGUUGGUUUUGCUAACACUAUGAGAUGGCUUUGCGGUUCAUUAGCUAGUUGGUGGGGUAAAGGCCUACCAAGGCGACGAUGCAUAGCCGACCUGAGAGGGUGACCAGCCACACUGGGACUGAGACACGGCCCAGACUCCUACGGGAGGCAGCAGUGGGGAAUUUUCGGCAAUGGGCGAAAGCCUGACGGAGCAACGCCGCGUGAGUGAAGAAGGACUUCGGGUUGUAAAGCGCUGUUGUUAGGGAAGAAAGAGUGUGUGGUAACUACACGCGGUAAUGACGGUACCUAACGAGAAAGCAACGGCUAACUACGUG